AUGAAACUGUUUGAUCUUCUUUACCUGGUGACAGCCCUUCCUGGUGGAAUUCUGUCCCAGAUUCAGCUUCAGGAGUCAGGACCUGGCCUGGUGAAGCCGUCACAAUCACUGUCCCUCACCUGCUCUGUCAAUGGUUACUUCAUUACCAAUGGCUACUACUGGAGCUGGAUCAGACAGUCCCCAGAGAAGAAGUUGGAGUCGAUAGGGUACAUCAAUAGUGGUGGUAGUCCUUAUUACAACCCGUCAUUUAAGAGCUGCACCUCCAUCACAAGAGAAACAUCCAAGAACCAGGACUUCUUGAAGCUGAACUCUCUCACCACUGACGACACAGUCACAUAUUACUGUGCAAGAGACACAGUGUGGGAAUUUCAGCAUUAG